GAUGAACGCUGGCGGCGUGCCUAAUACAUGCAAGUCGAGCGAACAGACGAGGAGCUUGCUCCUCUGACGUUAGCGGCGGACGGGUGAGUAACACGUGGAUAACCUACCUAUAAGACUGGGAUAACUUCGGGAAACCGGAGCUAAUACCGGAUAAUAUAUUGAACCGCAUGGUCCAAUAGUGAAAGGCGGUUUUGCUGUCACUUAUAGAUGGAUCCGCGCCGCAUUAGCUAGUUGGUAAGGUAACGGCUUACCAAGGCAACGAUGCGUAGCCGACCUGAGAGGGUGAUCGGCCACACUGGAACUGAGACACGGUCCAGACUCCUACGGGAGGCAGCAGUAGGGAAUCUUCCGCAAUGGGCGAAAGCCUGACGGAGCAACGCCGCGUGAGUGAUGAAGGUCUUCGGAUCGUAAAACUCUGUUAUUAGGGAAGAACAAAUGUGUAAGUAACUAUGCACGUCUUGACGGUACCUAAUCAGAAAGCCACGGCUAACUACGUG
rnacentral:rRNA from 1 species